UGCCUACGGGGGGCAGCAGUGGGGAAUAUUGCACAAUGGGGGGAACCCUGAUGCAGCGACGCCGCGUGAGUGAAGAAGUAUUCCGGUAUGUAAAGCUCUAUCAGCAGGGAAGAUAAUGACGGUACCUGACUAAGAAGCCCCGGCUAACUACGUGCCAGCAGCCGCGGUAAUACGUAGGGGGCAAGCGUUAUCCGGAUUUACUGGGUGUAAAGGGAGCGUAGACGGAGGAGCAAGUCUGAAGUGAAAUGCCGCAGCUUAACUGCGGAACUGCUUUGGAAACUGGCGGGCUAGAGUGCGGGAGGGGG
rnacentral:rRNA from 1 species